AAGUCGUAACAAGGUUUCCGUAGGUGAACCUGCGGAAGGAUCAUUACAGAGUUCAUGCCCUCACGGGUAGACCUCCCACCCUUGUGUAUUUAUACUAUGUUGCUUUGGCAGGCUGCUGCCCCCCUCGGGGGCAGCCCCAGCGCCCUCGGGCCUGGGAGUCGCCUGCCGGAGGAAAAACAAACUCUGAAUUGUUAGUGUCGUCUGAGUACUAUAUUUUAAUAGUUAAAACUUUCAACAACGGAUCUCUUGGUUCUG
rnacentral:misc_RNA from 1 species